AAGCCCCGGCACCUUACUGGGGUGCUUCUCCGAACUUGCAUUUCGAUGUGGUUUUCCACUGCGGGG
rnacentral:tRNA from 1 species